rnacentral:rRNA from 1 species
UACAGGUGGCUACUGCUUGCAUGACGACGGCUCUUUCGACUUCGGCUGUUCUUCCGGCGGCUCCUGCGGCAACGACGGUGGUUUCGGCGCCGGAGACGUACCGGAUGACCUGCGGCGGCCGCUGGAGAGGAACUGGUAAUGGCAGAGGGGUGGGCCCGAGGCUGGAUGGGUGGUAGAGUUCGUCCAGGUCUAGGCGGUGCCGAGGGCGUCGGUGCGCGGCCGUCUGGUUCGUCCGCGUGCUGCACCAGAGAAGGGGGAGAGGCGGAGACGCGCGACCACGUGCUGCACACCAAUGAGAAGGUGAGAGCACCAGUGGUAAGACGAAGGAGAGGAGGUGACCAAGUCGUCGUCGUUGUCCAUCGUGGAGUAGGGGUAGAGUGGAGCCGAUUAGAUGUCUGGUAACUGUUCGCUAAACCUCCCUUGUUCGACUCGUUAACGUCGGCAGCAGGAGCGGAUCCUCCUCCUCCUCCUCCUUCUCCUCCUCGAGGUAGUGUAGUCGUCGUCAAGUCCAGGUAGGAGAAGGAGAAACGAGUAGAACGAAGACUUAAGGUCAAAAGUUAAUCCGUCCUGUACUUCAACACCGGGAAGUUCCAGUAGGGACCGGGACGAUUGUUCGGGUACUAGCGGCAGCUGAUGUUCCAGUACAUGGGCACGUUACGAACAAAGGAACUUGGUCUUCGCCGUCCCCGGGAUAAGCCACAGUUGAACAAUCACCGGCCACCCCGCCCUCCCAGCACACACACGCGGGACACAUAUUUAUGGGGUACAUGACUAGUUGGCCUCCAGGGCCAAACCGUACUCUCUUUGUUGUUAAUACUUACCUGCUAACCACGCGACCAUGGGUCCAGUUAGGUCAGCGAUCAGUUAGGGAGCGUGUCGGAAGCAGCAACAGUCAAAUAAUUGGAGGAGUUAGGGGAGCGUGUCGGCGGCGGCGGCUGGGAGGGGAGCUGGCACCGCUGCUGCCGCAGGGAGGACAGCCAGCACGGCGGCGACGGAGUCUGGCAGUGUGCCGGCGUCGGCGGAUACGAAAAAGAGCGUGGAGGGGAUUAGGUCAAGGGCAGGUUUCGGCGGCGGCGUUUGUUCCCUAGGGUGGCCUGGAGCGGCGGCGGCGUUAGUUCCCUAGGGCGGCCUAACGGCGGUCCUCGGCGUCCUUGACGUACGGUAGUCCGCGCCGCACGGCUCGGGCGGCUUCGGAGGAGACGGGGUGGCGGGGGACGUCGCGUAGGGAGGCAGCUCGUAGGCCAGUACGGCUCGUUGCGGCGCCUGGUCAGGCAUCCGUCCGUACUCAUGGUCUCCCACCGAUGGUAACAAACAUCCUAAUUCCUUUACUAGACCUACUCCCGGUACCCGAAUCUAGAUAGACCGGCUGGAGUAAACUCGACGCCGAAUUCAUAAGGAUGACGUGCCCAAGGUCGUUCCUUUAAACACACGGCGAUAGGACUUGGAGGAGACGAAAGAGACUUUGUCCCAACGGUACACUUCUUUUUCCUAUACACCCUCGAAAACUUACCUGUUUCCGAAGUCGUUCCUUCUCUUCUGUCUACGUAAAGGAAUGAACGUUAAGGUCACUAGUAAAGUCAUGACCGAACAGUACAUGACUGGGACUUGAGACUUUGACUAAGUUGGUUACACGAUAGACUAACCAAUAUGGGUCAAUUUGGGUAGACGAAAGGAUGGGAUCGGCGGCGGCGGCGGUGGUCCGCUGAUCCCGCUCCGCUGAGAAAAGGAGGCUAGAGGUGGCCGGCCACGCGACCGGGGGAGAGGGAAGCCGGCGACAAGGCCGUCGUCCUCCCUCUCCCCUGGGGCAAGGAGGCGAGACAUCAAUCCAAAACCUAAAAAUCCAGCACCACGCAGUAACCCCACCACCCUCGCCGCGGGCCUGCUUAUUUAGACGGAGUUGGGGUGAGGGUGUGGCCGCCACAGGAAGUACCGCCGCAGAGCCUCAACUACCGUAGCACAGAGACAGCUAGGGAGUCUAGCUGUCGCAAUCCCAAGUACCUACCACAACUGCUCCGCCGCCGCCGCUGAGGUAGUCCACACAGAGAGGAAGACGAGACAGGGGCAACAACACCGCAACAGAGGCUGCAGUACCACCUCGUCCCUCCAAAACGGCAAGUCCUCAUGCGCGUCCGCCAACAGAUGCGUUCUCGUUAGUUAGAAUAUAGUACGCGCAUAGAUAGCGGGGAAGGGUUUAUAAGAGUACGAGGCGAGGGUGGAGGGGGUAAUACACGUUGUUGGAGACUAGUGGAGGCUAAGUGUGCGCUGGAAGAGGAGGCUCCGGUCAGGGUAGCUUGCGGCGGCUGGACAAGUGGCCGACAUAGCCUCGGCGGCAGGAGUGGGUGUCCUUACCUCGACGGCGGCUGGCGGGUAGACGGGACGCCUUAUGCUGCAGUGACGAACAAGAAGCAGGUGUGCAACCUAAAUUCCGAGCAUGUACUAAUACAACCUUACAAGUAAAUAAACCGCAGGACCCAUGGCGGGCGUCCUUACCGAUCAAGCAGGUUAUCAAUACGACUGUGUCUUAAUGGUGAUGGUCUGCAUUGGUUAGUCCGAAAAAACCUCCUUGAGUCACACUUUGUACGUUUAUACUCCAAUAGCACGAGUGGAAGUUCCAAGCGCCUGUACUAGCUGUCUAAUCUAGGACUGGUGGUUUUCCAGCAGACGUUAUUUUGACCAGAACCUCCCGGGCCGGACCUUUUAUAAAAGUUCGGACGACGCAAGUCUAACGAUGUUCGAAGCCUUUUUUUUAGUAUGUUCUUAGGAUAUUGCUGCCUGCUCAUGCUUCGUUCGUAAGGUCUUCUUGCUUUUCCACGUCUACUGCUGCAGUGCUAGUAGUAGUUGGGACUACAAUGUUUGUUUGGUCUGUGUAGACCACGGGGUUUCGCAUUUGCACCUGUGGGCUCCUUCUUACGGGGAGGAUCAUUAGGUCAGUUUGUUGUUAAACUGUGGUUCUGAUAGCGAUUUGUUCACUCCAAUUACCUGCGUUAGCGUCUGAUAGUUCGCACCACAGAUCGGGUAAGCAUGUCGGUACUUACCCGUCAAGGUGUACUAACAAGAAGCAUC